rnacentral:lncRNA from 1 species
ACAGAAAAUAACUUCAUUCUGCAAUUGAAAGAAUCACAGCAAGCUCUCAUUGUAUCAAGGCAAACUGGCGGUCAUACUCUUCUCUAAAUGAGCCAACACUCCCUAGGAGACCUCAGUAGAACUCCCUCUUCUCUGCUGGAAAGGUUUUGCCUCCCCAGGACCCAUCCCUCACCAUCCAUGCAUGACAUUCUGGCCUCAAGUAUCCACUCCUCAAAGGAAAAGAAAUUGGAGAGAUUCGCCUUGAAAAUAAGCCUUCAUAUUAGUGACUUCCUUCUUUUAAAGGACAUCGAACAAGUUUUAGAUGGGAUCUCUCUAUGUUGUCCAGGCUGGUCUCAAAUUCUUGGGCUCAAGAGAUCCUCGUGCCUCAGCCUCCCAAAGUGCUGAGAUGGUUAUACCAGCAAAGACUUGGAACCAACCCAAAUACCCAUCAAUGAUAGACUGGAUAAAGAAAAUGUGGCACAUAUACACCAUGGAAUACUAUGCAGCCAUAAAAAAGGAUGAGUUCGUGUCCUUUGCAGGGACAUGGAUGAUUGAAGCUGGAAACCAUCAUUCUCAGCAAAUACAAGAACAGAAAUCCAAACAUAACAUGUUCUCACUCAUAAGUGGGAGUUGAAUAAUGAGAACACGUGGACACAGGGAGCGGAACAGCAUACACCGGGGCCUCUUGUGGGGUGGGAGGUGGGACAAGGGAUAGCAUUUGGAGAAAUACCUAAUGUAGAUGACAGGUUGAGGGUUGCACCAAACCACUAUGGCACAUGUAUACCUAUGUAACAAACCUGCAUGUUCUGUACAUGUACCCCAGAACUUAAAGUAUAUUAAAAAAAAUUCAUACUCACAAAAACAUAAUUCCCU